rnacentral:rRNA from 1 species
UACGAAGGGGGCUAGCGUUGUUCGGAAUCACUGGGCUUAAAGGGCGCGUAGGCGGGCUGUCAAGUCUGGGGUGAAAUCCCACGGCUCAACCGUGGAACUGCCUUAGAUACUGACGGCCUCGAGGGAGGUAGGGGCGAGCGGAACUGUGAGUGGAGCGGUGAAAUGCGUUGAUAUUCACAGGAACUCCGGUGGCGAAGGCGGCUCGCUGGACCUCUUCUGACGCUGAGGCGCGAAAGCUAGGGGAGCAAACGGG